rnacentral:rRNA from 1 species
UACGUAGGGUCCAAGCGUUAUCCGGAAUCACUGGGCGUAAAGCGUGCGUAGGUGGAUUGUUAAGUGCAAUGCGAAAUCCUGUGGCUCAACCAUAUGGACUGUAUUGCAUACUGGCAAUCUAGAGGACAUGAGAGGCAAGUGGAAUUACUGGUGUAGCAGUGAAAUGCGUAGAUAUCAGUAGGAACACCAAUGGCGAAGGCAGCUUGCUGGCAUGUAUCUGACGCUAAGGCACGAAAGCGUGGGGAGCGAACAGG